rnacentral:rRNA from 1 species
UACGGGGGGGGCAAGCGUUGUUCGGAAUUACUGGGCGUAAAGGGCUCGUAGGUGGCCAACUAAGUCAGACGUGAAAUCCCUCGGCUUAACCGGGGAACUGCGUCUGAUACUGGAUGGCUUGAGUGUGGGAGAGGGACGCGGAAUUCCAGGUGUAGCGGUGAAAUGCGUAGAUAUCUGGAGGAACACCGGUGGCGAAGGCGGAUCUCUGGGCCGUAACUGACGCUGAGGAGCGAAAGCAUGGGGAGCGAACAGG